rnacentral:lncRNA from 11 species
AUUCAAACCACUAUAGGUGGGGGAAAAAUAAAACCCAGUCAUUAAGAUUUGAAUUUGUGUAAGGGCUGAUCCUAUGAUUAGACAUGAUGACGUAACUUCUUCAGCUUUUAAAGUGUUGGACUUCUGCAAUGGAAAGCAUUUGGAAGGAAUAAGCCCCAGUAUCCUCAAAGUGGUGUCUAGAGAAGAUGCUCGGGUUUACUCCAGAACACCCAGGAUCCCAGUAAGCCUAAAAAAAUUUCUAAAAAAAUUUUUCCCAUUUUUUUUUAAUGGAGUGGGUGGGAACUACACUUGCUUGUGGAAUAAGAAUGAAAAUGGAUAAUACUGGUAAACCGGCAACAUAAGACUAGCAUGUGAU